GACGAACGCUGGCGGUGUGCUUCACACAUGCAAGUCGAACGGAGUAGCAAUACUCAGUGGCGGACGGGUGAGGAAUACGUAGGGAUCUGCCCUUAAGUGGGGGAUAACCCGGGGAAACCCGGAUUAAUACCGCAUGAUCUCGCAAGAGCAAAGAGGGGGACCGCAAGGCCUCUCGCUUUUGGAGGAACCUACGUCGGAUUAGCUAGUUGGUGAGGUAAUGGCUCACCAAGGCGACGAUCCGUAACUGGUCUGAGAGGAUGAUCAGUCACACCGGAACUGAGACACGGUCCGGACUCCUACGGGAGGCAGCAGUGGGGAAUAUUGGACAAUGGGCGAAAGCCUGAUCCAGCAAUACCGCGUGUGUGAAGAAGGCCUUCGGGUUGUAAAGCACUUUAAGUUGGGAAGAAAAAGCUUCACCUAAUACGUGAAGCCUUGACGGUACCGACAGAAUAAGCACCGGCUAACUCUGUGCCAGCAGCCGCGGUAAUACAGAGGGUGCUAGCGUUAAUCGGAUUUACUGGGCGUAAAGCGUGCGUAGGUGGUUUGAUAAGUCGAUUGUGAAAGCCCCGGGCUUAACCUGGGAAUUGCGGUCGAUACUGUCAGACUCGAAAACGGUAGAGGGAGGUGGAACUCCAGGU
rnacentral:rRNA from 1 species